GUAACUAAAGUGCUUAGCAUGGACAGGUUCUUGCUGAAUGCCAGAAGGUCAAGGGGUUCCAGUCCAACGGAUUGUCAACCCCUCUGCAGAUGGGAAAACUGAAGCGCAGAAAGCCUGCCACUCUGUCAGAGGAAAUUAGAUUUGCUUGGCACAACCUGCUCCUUAUGAUGUCAUCCUGGCUGUGAUCUGCGUGUCCUGCUCUCCUAGGAUGCAUCAUCAGCAGAGUGUUCUUGGCAUCACCAUAUUCUUGGCAAGUGCUUUAUGUUUCAUCUAGAACUGAGAGACCGUUCUGGUUGCACAAAAGGGUGAGAACAAGACAACCUGCAGCCCAGAGUGGUCGGGGCUGACUGCUGGGGGGCUGACUUCCCCAGGACCUGUCCCCAGCCCCUCCAACCACAUCCUUUCUAUACGAUCUCCUCCCUCCACCUCAAGCCCCCUUGCCUUGGAAGAUUCCCUUCCCUCCCCUGGAAUAUUCCUCACCAUCACUCUAACCCCAGAUCACCUGGGCUAGGCUCCAGGUGCCUCUGCUCAGGCUAAGUCCCUGCUCUGUGCCCCCAGUGCACCGUGCAUUCACCCCACCAUGCAUGACAUCCAAGGUGUUCAAAUGCUCUGCUCUGUGCCUGGCUCCCUCCCAACCAGUGCCCUCCAGGAGGCAGGGACAGGGACCACAGAGCCCUAAGUGGAUGU